rnacentral:rRNA from 1 species
GACGAACGCUGGCGGCGUGCUUAACACUUGCAAGUCGAACGGAAAGGCCCUGCUUUUGUGGGGUGCUCGAGUGGCGAACGGGUGAGUAACACGUGAGUAACCUGCCCUUGACUUUGGGAUAACUUCAGGAAACUGGGGCUAAUACCGGAUAGGAGCUCCUGCUGAAUGGUGGGGGUUGGAAAGUUUCGGCGGUUGGGGAUGGACUCGCGGCUUAUCAGCUUGUUGGUGGGGUAGUGGCUUACCAAGGCUUUGACGGGUAGCCGGCCUGAGAGGGUGACCGGCCACAUUGGGACUGAGAUACGGCCCAGACUCCUACUGGAGGCAGCAGUGGGGAAUAUUGCACAAUGGGCGGAAGCCUGAUGCAGCAACGCCGCGUGCGGGAUGACGGCCUUCGGGUUGUAAACCGCUUUCGCCUGUGACGAAGCGUGAGUGACGGUAAUGGGUAAAGAAGCACCGGCUAACUACGUG